CCAGCGAGAGCGACACAAAAGACGUUCCAAAAUGACAAAGAACCAAGCUGGCUUCACUCCCUCCACCCCCACAGAAAAUGGAAAACAAAUAUACAGCACCAAUUUAUCAUCAGCAAUAUCCCAGAAUUCAAACGUGAGGAAGAGACAGUUCUCAGGGCCACAAAGAAGUGAAAAAACUCCAGGCAAGCUGUAAGGUAUUUGAUGCCUUUCCCCAUAAUCUGCCCACCACGAAGUGUGUGGAAUACUUCCCCCAACUCACAGUUUCUACACUGGAUCUCAGUCCUGGAAACUGUUCCUUAACUCAAUCAAAGGAGAUGCCAAAUCAGAGGGGCUAUUCCACAGCACCAUGCUACAGGAGGUAUAUUCCAUAGAUCCCCUGGGCAUGAGCCCCUGGCCAGCCUCCCAACACUGCCAGAAUAUCCCCUUUGGACUUUUCCCAUUCAGUAUGGGCAGCAACCCAAUCAUUUACUACAGCCAGGCAAACUUUGGCUUAAGGUACCAUCCAGCAACAAAAAGAAGGCAGCAACCUAGAAAAAAAAAAUCAACAGGUAAACUAAAAAGAAUCUCUAAGAAAACAAGUCAAGUAAAAAACAAAACAAGCCAGACAGGGAAGAUUGGAAUAAAUAACCUUUCAAUGCAAAGACAUAGAAAGACAUCCCCAAGAAGCAAUAGCAAACAGGAAACCAUUAUCUCUCCAAAUGGACAAACCAAGGAACCAGCUACUGAUGCCACUGAGAGAGUGAUAUGUGAGCUCUCUCACAUAAAAAAAUAGCAGUUUUAAGGAAAUUCAGUGAUCUCCAAGUUAACACAGAAAGCAAUUCAGGAAUUCAUCUGAGAAAUUUAGCAACAAUAUUAAAAUAAUUUUUAAAAAACAAAAAUCUUGCAACUGAGAAAUACAUUGGCUGAACUGAAAAAAAUCAUUAGAGGCUCUCAACAACAGAAUGGAUCAAGCAGAGGAAAGAAUCGGAGAGCUUGAAGACAAGCAUUUGAAAAUACGAUCAGAGGAGAAAGAAGAAAAACAAUGAAAAAUAUGAAGAUGAUCUACAUGAAAUAGAAUAUUACCAGAAAAGACCAAAUCUAAGAAUUAUUUGUGUCUAAGAGGGAGUUGAACAAGAGCAAAAGGUAAAAGCUUCAAAGAAAUAAUGUUGAAAUUUUUCCAAAACUUGAGAAAUACAUAAAUAUCCAGGUAGAGGAAGGUCAGAGAAUAUCAAAGAGAUUCGACCCAAAUAAUACUAACUCAAGUCAUCUAAUAAUCAAAUCCUCAAAGGUAAAGGAUAAAGAGAGGAUCCUAAAAGCAGCUAGAAGAAAGAAGCAAGUAACAUAUAAAGGACUCCAAUUCAUCUGAUAAUUUCAAGAGAAAUUCAUCUGAUAAUUUCAAGGGAUGUUAGAGGCCUCACACUACCUAACUUCAAAAUGUACUACAAAGCUAUGGUAACCAAAUCAGUAUGGUACUGGCAUAAAAACAGACACAUAGACCAAUGAAACAGAAUAGAGAAUCCAGACAUAAACCCAUGCAUUUAUAGCCAACUCACUUUCUUUCUUUUUUUUUUUUAAUUAUACCUUAAGUUUUAGGGUACAUGUGCACAAUGUGCAGGUUUGUUACGUAUGUAUAUAUGUGCCAUGUUGGUGUGCUGCACCCAUUAACUCGUCAUUUACAUUAGGUAUAUCUCCUAAUGCUAUCCCUCCCCCCUCCCCCCACCCCAUGACAGGCCCUAGUGUGUGGUGCUCCCCACCCUGUGUCCAGGUGUUCUCAUUGUUCAAUUCCCACCUAUGAGUGAGAACAUGCGGUGUUUGGUUUUCUGUCUUUGCAAUAGUUUGCUCAGAAUGAUGGUUUCCAGCUUCAUCCAUGACCCUACAAAGGACAUGAACUCAUCCUUUUUUAUGGCUGCAUAGUAUUCGAUAGCCAACUCAUUUUCAACAAAGGCACCAAGAACAUUCAUAGGGUGAAAGGAUAGUCUUUUCAAUACACUGUGCUGGGAAAACUGGAUAUUCAUAUACAGAAGAAUGAAACUAGAAUCCUAUCUUUCACCAUAUAAAAAAAUCAAAUCAAGAUGGAUUAAAAACUUAUAUUGAAGACCCAAAACUGUGAAAUUACUAGAAGAAAACAUUGGGAAAAUGUUCCAGGACAUAGAUCUGGGCAAAGAUUUUGAAUAAGGCCUCAAAAUCACAGGCAGCCAAAGCAAAAACAGACAAAUGGGAUUCUAUCAAGCUUAAAAGCUUCUGCACAGAAAAGAAAACAAUAAACAAAAUGAAGAGACAACCCAUAUAAUGGCAGAAAAUAUUUGCAAACUAUCCAUGUAGCAAGGAAUUGAUAACCAGAAUAUAUAAAGAGCUCAAACAACUCAGUAGCAAAAAACCAACUAAUCCAAUUUAAAAGUGGGCAAAAGAUCUGAACAGACAUUUCUCAGAGGAAAACAUACAAAUGACCAACAGGUAUAUGAAAAAUGUUCAACAUCACUAAUAAUCAGAGAAAUGCAAAUCAAAUCACAAUGAGAUAUCUUCUCACCCCAGUUAAAAUGACUUCUUCAAAAAGACAAGGAUAAGGGAUACUGGUGAGGAUGUGGAAAAAGGAGAACUCUCAUACACUUGGUGGGGACAUAAAUUAGUAUAGCCACUAUGGAGAAGAGUUUGGCGGUUCCUCAAAAAACUAAAAAUAGAACUAUCAUAUGAUCCAGCAACUGCACUACUGAGUAUACAUCCAAAAGAAAUGAAAUUAAUGUAUUAAAGAGAUAUCUGCACUCCCAUGUUUAAUGCAGCACUAUUCACAAUAGCCAAAAUAUAAAAUCAACCUAAAUGCCUAUCAAUGGAUAAACAGAUAAUGUGACAUAUAUAUAGAAUGGAAUAUUAUUUGGCCAUAAAAAGAAUGAAAUCCUGUCAUUUGCAGCAACAUGGAUGGAACUGGAGGUCAUUAUGUUAAGUGAAAUAAGCCAAGCACAGAAGACCAAAUAUUACAUGUUCUCACUCAUGUAGGAACUACAAAAGUGGAUCUCAUGAAGAUCUCUAGAAAGUAGAUUGAUGGUUACCAGAGGCCAGAAAGGGCAGAGGGAAGGAGCAUAAGGAGGUUGAUAAAUGGAUACAAAUAUACAAUUAGAUAGAAAUAAGACCUAGUGUUUGAUAGAUCAGUAGGAUGAUACUAGUUAACAAUAAUCUAUUGUACAUUUCAAAAUAGCCAGAAGAGAAAAAUUUGAAUAUUACCAGCAUAAAGAUAAGAUAUUUAGGUAAUGGAUAUCCCAACUACCUUGAUUUGGUCUUUACAUAUUAUAUGAAUGUGUCAAAAUAUCCUAUGUAUCCCCAAAAUAUGUAUAUGUAUUAUACAUCAAUAAAAAAU
rnacentral:lncRNA from 10 species